rnacentral:rRNA from 1 species
GGCCAGACUCCUACGGGAGGCAGCAGUGGGGAAUAUUGCACAAUGGGGGAAACCCUGAUGCAGCGACGCCGCGUGAGUGAGGAAGUAUUUCGGUAUGUAAAGCUCUAUCAGCAGGGAAGAAAAUGACGGUACCUGACUAAGAAGCCCCGGCUAACUACGUGCCAGCAGCCGCGGUAAUACGGAGGAUGCGAGCGUUAUCCGGAUUUACUGGGUGUAAAGGGGGCGCAGACGGCGAUGCAAGCCAGGAGUGAAAGCCCGGGGCCCAACCCCGGGACUGCUCUUGGAACUGCGUGGCUGGAGUGCAGGAGGGGCAGGCGGAAUUCCUGGUGUAGCGGUGAAAUGCGUAGAUAUCAGGAGGAACACCGGUGGCGAAGGCGGCCUGCUGGACUGCAACUGACGUUGAGGCCCGAAAGCGUGGGGAGCAAACAGGAUUAGAUACCCCGGUAUUU